rnacentral:rRNA from 1 species
CGGACGGGUGAGUAAUGUCUGGGAAACUGCCUGAUGGAGGGGGAUAACUACUGGAAACGGUAGCUAAUACCGCAUAACGUCGCAAGACCAAAGAGGGGGACCUUAGGGCCUCUUGCCAUCGGAUGUGCCCAAAUGGGAUUAGCUAGUAGGUGGGGUAAUGGCUCACCUAGGCGACGAUCCCUAGCUGGUCUGAGAGGAUGACCAGCCACACUGGAACUGAGACACGGUCCAG